rnacentral:lncRNA from 1 species
UUAACACCACACACAUGGAAGCUUUAAAGUAGAAUCAAACAAGACUUUCAAGCAUAGAGCCAAGGUCUAGUGCCAACGUGAUCACCUAGAUGGCUAAUAAUAGGAAUAGACUGAGAAAACCAUGCUGCAGUACAAUUAUGGAGAGACAGCCAACAAAAAUCAUGUCAGGACAAGCCGAAGAAAGGUUAAUGAUAGGCCAGGGUUGACAAAGUAUGAAUAUCAGACUGACGAGUAUUGCAAAGGAAUCAUGCUAGUAGACGAACAUAGCAGGUAGAUGACUAGCAUCAAUUAUCAGAAAUAUUAAGAGUGGAGGCCAAAUGUAGGUACUAACUAUCCAAGUGAAUACUUAUUGUAUUUUAGUAUAAAUAAUUGAUUUAUACUUUGUAUAAAGCACCCUUGGAUAAUCAAAUCAAUAUAUUUUAUCGUAUUUAGUAUAUCAUAGUUUCUACUUUAGGAGUAGGAGUUACUUAGCUUUCUAUUAUUCUAGCCUAGCACUAUAUCUCCACCAUAGCCCAGCACUAUACUCCUUAUCCUUAUCCACAUCUGCCUCCUUCAAACGAUGGUGUGACGAUGAAGAAAAUCGUUGAAGGUGAAGGCAUUUAGACCUAUGCUACUCUCUAUCCUCCCUUCAAUUAUCAUAAUCUUUCGGGCUGAUCCAACACUUAUGGCAUGCCCGCGCCUAUCUACCCUCAUCAUUUGACAUGUUACCACUCUCUUCCAACACAUCUAGAUGGGACUCCGCCCAUGGAUCUCGUCGUACAUUCGAUGGGAUGGAAAGAGAGCAAACAUCCA